rnacentral:rRNA from 1 species
AGUGAACGCUGGCGGUAGGCCUAACACAUGCCAGUCGAACGGCAGCACAGUAAGAGCUUGCUCUUACGGGUGGCGAGUGGCGGACGGGUGAGGAAUACAUCGGAAUCUACUUUUUCGUGGGGGAUAACGUAGGGAAACUUACGCUAAUACCGCAUACGACCUACGGGUGAAAGCAGGGGAUCUUCGGACCUUGCGCGAUUGAAUGAGCCGAUGUCGGAUUAGCUAGUUGGCGGGGUAAAGGCCCACCAAGGCGACGAUCCGUAGCUGGUCUGAGAGGAUGAUCAGCCACACUGGAACUGAGACACGGUCCAGACUCCUACGGGAGGCAGCAGUGGGGAAUAUUGGACAAUGGGCGCAAGCCUGAUCCAGACAUACCGCGUGGGUGAAGAAGGCCUUCGGGUUGUAAAGCCCUUUUGUUGGGAAAGAAAAGCAGCAGGUUAAUACCCCGCUGUUCUGACGGUACCCAAAGAAUAAGCACCGGCUAACUUCGUG